GGGUGAAAAAAGGAAAUUUUUAUUAUAGGUUAGAUCGAACCAAUUUGAAUAAUUUUGGUAGUGAAGCAAGCCCAAAAUUAGUUAGGUGUCAAAUCGACAAGUGAAUUGUUUGAAAAGCAAGAAAAUUGAUACAGCAUAAAAAAAACUCAUUUUGGAGGCAGAAAAAAAAAUUCUUUGUUUGCACAUGGCACUUGUUAGGAAAAAGUCCAUUUUACUCCCUUCACUAAUCCACUUUAUCUGCUUAACCCCUAAACAAAAUUUAGGCUUACUUUACUCCCCCGAACUAUUUCAAUUAGUCCAAUCUGC
rnacentral:lncRNA from 1 species